GAGUUUGAUCCUGGCUCAGGACGAACGCUGGCGGCGUGCUUAACACAUGCAAGUCGAACGGAAAGCGCUCUUCGGAGUGACUCGAGUGGCGAACGGGUGAGUAACACGUGGGUGAUCUGCCCUGCGCUUUGGGAUAAGCCUGGGAAACUGGGUCUAAUACCGGAUAGGACCACGGCAUGCAUGUGCUGUGGUGGAAAGCUUUUGCGGUGUGGGAUGGGCCCGCGGCCUAUCAGCUUGUUGGUGGGGUGAUGGCCUACCAAGGCGACGACGGGUAGCCGGCCUGAGAGGGUGUCCGGCCACACUGGGACUGAGAUACGGCCCAGACUCCUACGGGAGGCAGCAGUGGGGAAUAUUGCACAAUGGGCGCAAGCCUGAUGCAGCGACGCCG
rnacentral:rRNA from 1 species